rnacentral:misc_RNA from 1 species
CGGUUGGCGGAUUGGACUUGGAUGCUGCUGGGGUUCAUUCCUCGGCUCGUCUCAAAUGCAGCAGUCGAUUCACUCGACCCAGCCGCUCGGUGUGAUAAUUACAUCUACGCCGGGCUUGGGGAAGAGCGGCUUCAAACCGUCUUCGGACAACUUUCAUCGCAUCUGACCUCAAAUCAGGUAGGACUACCCGCUGAACUUAA